rnacentral:rRNA from 1 species
GAUGAACGCUGGCGGCGUGCCUAAUACAUGCAAGUCGAGCGAACAGACGAGGAGCUUGCUCCUCUGACGUUAGCGGCGGACGGGUGAGUAACACGUGGAUAACCUACCUAUAAGACUGGGAUAACUUCGGGAAACCGGAGCUAAUACCGGAUAAUAUAUUGAACCGCAGGGUGCAAUAGUGAAAGACGGUGUUGCGGUCACUUAUAGAUGGAUCCGCGCCGGAUUAGCGAGUUGGUAAGGUAACGGCUUACCAAGGCAACGAUGCGUAGCCGACCUGAGAGGGUGAUCGGCCACACUGGAACUGAGCCACGGUCCAGACUCCUACGGGAGGCAGCAGUAGGGAAUCUUCCGCAAUGGGCGAAAGCCUGACGGAGCAACGCCGCGUGAGUGAUGAAGGUCUUCGGAUCGUAAAACUCUGUUAUUAGGGAAAAACAAAUGUGUAAGUAACUAUGCCCGUCUUGACGGUACCUAAUCAGAAAGCCCCGGCUAACUACGUG